rnacentral:lncRNA from 1 species
AUGAGGCACCUAAGGCAACCUUUCUGCAAAGCCUACCACGGAGGCCACCUAAUCAUAUGCCUUGCUUUGGGUGGCUGCACCAACCGGCCCUCAACCUGGACCGUAUCCGGCAUUGGAUUGGCUGUGGGGCUCACCUCUCUAAGCCUAUGGAGAAUCUUCUAGGUCUGUCUGGCUUUUUCCCCCUGCAUCCGAUGAUGAUCACCAAUGCUGAGAGACUACGGGCGAAGAGAGCACAAGAGAUCCUCUUAGCGUCUCAGAAAGCAGAGUCAGAGGCCAAAGAGACAGAAGCAU